rnacentral:lncRNA from 1 species
CUGGCAUUCGCCUCUGUAUUUGCUGUAUUCUGGCUGUGUCUCUCAGGAGCGAUCUACAUCCGGCUCCUGUCGGCCUGCACUUCUUGGCUUCAUCCAUCUUGUCUAAUUGGGUGGCUGUAUAUGUAUGGGCCACAUGUGGGGCAGGCUCUGAAUGGGUGUUCCUUCUGUCUCUGUUUUAAUCUUUGCCUCUCUAUUCCCUGCCAAGGGUAUUCUUGUUCUCCUUUUAAAGAAGGAGUGAAGCAUUCACAUUUUGAUCAUCCAUCUUGAGUUUCAUGUGUUCUAGGCAUCUAGGGUAAUUCAAGCAUUUGGGCUAAUAGCCACUUAUCAAUGAAUGCAUACCAUGUGUGUUUUUCUGUGAUUGGGUUACCUCACUCAGGAUGAUAUUUUCCAGUUCUAUCCAUUUGCCUAUGAAUUUCAUAAAGGCAUUGUUUUUGAUAGCUGAGUAAUAUUCCAUUGUGUAGAUGUACCACAUUUUCUGUGUCCAUUCCUCUGUUGAAGGGCAUCUGGGUUCUUUCCAGCUUCUGGCUAUUAUAAAUAAGGCUGCUAUCAACAUAGUGGAGCACGUGUCUUUUUUAUAUGUUGGGGCAUCUUUUGGGUAUAGUACAUAGACUUUUAUUUGUGGGAACUUGUUUGACCCUUGAUAAUACUGAAUGUAUUUUGAUAAUAGCCUAGCUACAGGGACACCUGUAUCAUUUGUGUUUGUGAUGUUCUCCUGUGACAAUUGUGACGAGUGGUGUAAGUUCUGGGCUUCCAGCUAUAUUCUUUAUAUGAGAAAACGGCAUUGCGUGAGAAAGGGAAGCCAUGUUUAACUGUAAAUAUCCUCACUGCGUGUUGAGAAAAGGAAAUUAUAUUUUAUGUACAUA